rnacentral:rRNA from 1 species
ACGCUCGACACCUACGGGGGCAGCAGUGGGGAAUAUUGCACAAUGGGGGAAACCCUGAUGCAGCGACGCCGCGUGGAGGAAGGAGGUCUUCGGAUUGUAAACUCCUGUUGUUGGGGAAAAAGAGGAUGGUACCCAACAAGGAAGUGACGGCUAACUACGUGCCNNNCGCGUAGUAUNGNGGCGGNGNGAGAG